rnacentral:lncRNA from 1 species
UACAAUUCACCUCUUCCUCCAGUGAAAUCUCCACCACCACCGUAUUAUUAUCACUCUCCGCCACCACCGUAUUAUUACCAUUCUCCACCUCCUCCGGUGAAGUCUCCUCCUCCACCUUAUUACUACCAUUCACCCUCUCCUCCGGUAAAAUCUCCUCCUCCACCUUAUUACUACCAUUCACCUCCUCCUCCGGUAAAAUCUCCUCCUCCACCUUAUUACUACCAUUCUCCACCUCCUCCAGUUAAAUCUCCACCACCACCGUACUAUUAUCAUUCUCCACCUCCUCCGGUGAAAUCUCCACCACCUCCAUACUACUACCAUUCUCCGCCUCCUCCAAUGAAAUCUCCACCACCUCCAUAUUACUACCAUUCUCCGCCUCCUCCGGUGAAGUCUCCUCC